rnacentral:rRNA from 1 species
CGAACGCUGGCGGCGUGCUUAACACAUGCAAGUCGAGCGGUAAGCCUUUUCGGGGUAACGAACCGGCAAACGGUUGAUAAACAGUUGGUUGAUCUGCCCGCCACUCGGGGUUAGGCCUGGGAAACUGGUUUUAUUCCCGGUAAUACCCUCCUUCCCCUGGUGGGUUGGUGAAAGAUUUUUCGGUGCAGGAUGGGCCCGCGGCCUAUCAGCUUGUUGGUGGGGUAAUGGCCUACCAAGGCGACGACGGGUAGCCGACCUGAGAGGGUGACCGGCCACACUGGGACUGAGACACGGCCCAGACUCCUACGGGAGGCAGCAGUGGGGAAUAUUGCACAAUGGGCGAAAGCCUGAUGCAGCGACGCCGCGUGAGGGAUGACGGCCUUCGGGUUGUAAACCUCUUUCAGCAGGGACGAAGCGCAAGUGACGGUACCUGCAGAAGAAGCACCGGCUAACUACGUG